rnacentral:rRNA from 1 species
GUCUACGGCUAUACCACCCUGAACGCGCCCGAUCUCGUCUGAUCUCGGAAGCUAAGCAGGGUCGGGCCUGGUUAGUACUUGGAUGGGAGAAUACCAAUGUCUCUACC